rnacentral:rRNA from 1 species
GAGGAGCUUGCUCCUCUGACGUUAGCGGCGGACGGGUGAGUAACACGUGGAUAACCUACCUAUAAGACUGGGAUAACUACGGGAAACCGGAGCUAAUACCGGAUAAUAUAUUGAACCGCAUGGUUCAAUAGUGAAAGUCGGUUUUGCUGUCACUUAUAGAUGGAUCCGCGCCGCAUUAGCUAGUUGGUAAGGUAACGGCUUACCAAGGCAACGAUGCGUAGCCGACCUGAGAGGGUGAUCGGCCACACUGGAACUGAGACACGGUCCAGACUCCUACGGGAGGCAGCAGUAGGGAAUCUUCCGCAAUGGGCGAAAGCCUGACGGAGCAACGCCGCGUGAGUGAUGAAGGUCUUCGGAUCGUAAAACUCUGUUAUUAGGGAAGAACAAAUGUGUAAGUAACUAUGCACGUCUUGACGGUACCUAAUCAGAAAGCCACGGCUAACUACGUGCCAGCAGCCGCGGUAAUACGUAGGUGGCAAGCGUUAUCCGGAAUUAUUGGGCGUAAAGCGCGCGUAGGCGGUUUUUUAAGUCUGAUGUGAAAGCCCACGGCUCAACCGUGGAGGGUCAUUGGAAACUGGAAAACUUGAGUGCAGAAGAGGAAAGUGGAAUUCCAUGUGUAGCGGUGAAAUGCGCAGAGAUAUGGAGGAACACCAGUGGCGAAGGCGACUUUCUGGUCUGUAACUGACGCUGAUGUGCGAAAGCGUGGGGAUCAAACAGGAUUAGAUACCCUGGUAGUCCACGCCGUAAACGGUGGGGCGCUAGGUGUAGGGGGCUUCCACGUCUUCUGUGCCGUAGCUAACGCAUUAAGCGCCCCGCCUGGGGAGUACGCCGCAAGG